rnacentral:lncRNA from 14 species
CGCGGGGGUGGCCGAGGAGCGGCGGCGGCGGCGGCGGCGUGAACGCGGCUGCAGAGCCCCAGCGAGCCGCGGGAGCGCCGCGCCCGCCGCAGCCGCCGGAAGCCGGGCGAGGAGCGAGCGCGGCCGCCCGGAGCCGGCCGGAGCCCCGCGGGGAGGCAGCGAGGGGCCCUCGCCGAAAGCGCGAACAGAACACCCCCCACACCCCCGCCCCGCCGCCUCCGCCCGCCCCCAGCGAAGAGAAACAAAACAUAACCCCGGCACCGCCACGCUCUCCCUCCUUCUCCUCUCGGCUUUUGGUGGUUGUUUUUUUGGGGUUUUUAAAAUUUAUUUUUUCUUUUAAUUUUUUUUUCUUGGGAUUCUCCUCUCUCCUGCCAGACUGACUUACACGUUCUUGAUAAUUUCUCUUCCCCUCAUUUUUUAUACUCUUCUCCCUGCUUCCAAACCCUGUGUCUGUGUGUUUCAAUACUAUCACAACCUCUGCUAAAAAUAGAUCUUUUUAUACCCUUCCUCCUCUCUGACCCCAUCCAACACCCCUUGUUAAGUUUACUGAGGUAACUGUCUUACACUAAGAGCAAGAAAAGUAAAUUCACUUGGCUGUCCCAUAUCUCUAAGGAACCUGAUGCAUGAGUGGACUAGAGAAGAGACAGAGAGAAAAACUCCUAAGACCUACAGAUCAUCUGGCUGGCAGGGUCAAGUUUUCUUUGGAUUGAGGUGGAGCUGUGGCUUAUGGACAUCUGAUGUGAUAGGUAUUGCUACUAAUGAAAAAUGGCAGAAGAGUGACUUCAUGCAGAGCAUACUCAACACUUUUAGAUAUCUUGAGACUGCAAAAGCUGACCAUCAACAGCACGUUUUUAAAUAUCACUGCUCUUCAGACAAGUAAGUUCUCCAUUCCAGAUUUUUUUUUCUCUCUAAUAUUCCUAACUUGUAUUUUAUUCUUGUAUUUAUUAUAUGGACUAUCACAUUCA